CGUGCACGGGUGGGGUCCCUCGGCCUGGCCUAUGCCCUCUCGCAAUCCAGGACCCCUUGGGGGAUGUCGAACUGCCAGUUUCAGCCCGAUCCCACAGGCCAGGCCGAGGGACCCCACCAGUGCACG
rnacentral:pre_miRNA from 1 species